rnacentral:rRNA from 1 species
GACGAACGCUGGCGGCGUGCCUAAUACAUGCAAGUAGGACGCAGUUGCGAACGGGUGAGUAACGCGUAGGUAACUACCUAUUAGAGGGGGGUAACUAUUGGAAACGAUAGCUAAUACCGCAUACUAGUAGAUGGACCUGCAUUGUAUUAGCUAGGAGGUAGGGUAAUGGACUACCUAGGCAACGAUACAUAGCCGAACGUAGAGGGUGUUCGGCCAAACUGGGACUGAGACACGGCUCAGACUCCUACGGGAGGCAGCAGAAGGUAAUCUUCCGCAAUGGGGGGAACCCUGACCGAGCAACGCAGCUGGAGUGAAGAAGGUUUUCGGAUCGUAAAGCUCUGUUGUUAAGGAAGCGGUACUUAACCAGAAAGGUACGGCUAACUACGUGCCAGCAGCCGCGGUAAUAC